ensembl:lncRNA
GGCUGUCCUAGAAGUCGCAAAAUACGUCACCUAAUUUGCACAAUUGGCAAUGUGCAUGUAAUUGUGACGGAUGCUGUAGGAGAGAGGGAAAAACGCUGUAGGAGAGAGGGAAAAACGUCGUGGGAGAGACAAAAACAGCCUACAACAAGUCACACAAAAAAAAACAUUCUGGACGUGGAGGGGUGAACAUCUCCUGCUCUGACUGCAGCUGGGAAGGACUGCUGUGCUACGACUGGGUGAAUGCAUUGGGACGGGGUGGGGCCCACGGCAGCACCCGCUGCUCGUUGAGAAGAGAGCAGUGAAAGCACGUAUGGUUCUUAGUCUCCAAUAACACCAGAAAAAGUCGCUGGAUUUGUCGCUUGUUGCUUUUUUUGAAAAUGUGUCGCUAGAGGAGUCUGAAUACACGCUAACGACAAAGCCACUAAGUUGGCAACUGACGGGGGCAUGUCUAGGGGCUGAAACUUUACAGGGGGUUCUAGAAAUGUUGUAAUUGAAUGAGCUGUGCCUCAUUCAUAGCUCCAUUUACCUUUAGCAUAUUGUUGUUUUCUUGGUACACAUUAGAUUUUCCGAAUAUAUAAGGGGUCUGUUUAGAAUACGACUCCCCCUCAGUUUUCUAUUUUGGACUAGUCCAAUACUAGAUUCAAAUCAUGAAAUCCAAUUUUAUUGGUCACAUACACAUGGUUACUAGAAUACUAGAUUCACAUCUGGAACUGGCUAAUGUAUCUCUUUGAGAAUUCAGAUUUUUAAAACAGCACAAUGUUUAGAAACCCUAUUGGCCAGCAUGAUAACAUUUAAAAUGUCUCCUUUUCAUGACCGCUAACAUGUGAAUGGUGGACAUAAUACAGCCUAUAGCCAGUCAGUCCUAUUCAUAUCAGUGAUGAUGGAGGAAAGGAAACAAUGAGAGGAGUGCUUCAAUCUCAACACAAUGAACCCUAGCUAUUUCUAUUGGUGGAGAGUGUAGGACACAAAAUGAUUCACAGCUAUCAAAGAGACCCUUUAGUCUAUGCAAGAGCGUCCAUUGCCUUUAAUAAAGGUCAGGUCAAGUCACAAGACAACCAUUUGGAUUUACACAAGGAGCUUUGGGGGCAGGGGGAGGGAGUGUGCAAGAGGGGAAAUAUGUCAUAGGGAGCUGGGAUAUCAAGAAAAUAUAGGUAUAAUCACCAAUAUCACAUCAUCAUCAUCUGGUAAUCAUUUUCCAUUUACAAUAGUAUUACCCAUCAACAUUUCACCAUCAUUGCCAUUUAUUUUAAUAUCAUACAGAACAUGUGCUAAAAUGUGAAGUCCUACUGGAAUUAUUGCAUUUAUACGCUCUUUGAGACCAAGGAAAAUAACUGCUAGAUUUGAUUUAGUACUCUGUGACAUGAUGACUAGGCUAUUUGAACAUGUGUUUGCAGAAUAUGUGUCUGUUCUGUUGCUAUGCUGGAGGUAUUGAUAUUGCAUCAUGGUACGCUACAUGCCAGUGUUCAAGCAAGAUGUUUGAUUGGGUGUUGAAAAUCUCGUAGGCCUCUUAUAAAAAAAAAAACUGUAUGUUAUCAAAAAUAGGAGAGCUUCUCUGUAAUUAAUAGGGAAACAAAUGAGGAAACAAUCUCAGUUGAUCUACUAAAUAAA